AACGAACGCUGGCGGCAGGCUUAACACAUGCAAGUCGAACGCAUCCUUCGGGGUGAGUGGCAGACGGGUGAGUAACGCGUGGGAACGUGCCCUUCAGUUCGGGUUAACCCAGGGAAACUUGGGCUAAUACCGGAUACGUGCGAGAGCAGAAAGAUUUAUCGCUGAAGGAUCGGCCCGCGUCUGAUUAGCUAGUUGUUGGGGUAAUGGCCCACCAAGGCGACGAUCAGUAGCUGGGCUGAGAGGAUGAUCAGCCACAGUGGGACUGAGACACGGCCCAAACUCCGACGGGAGGCAGCGGUGGGGGAGAUUGGACAAGGGACGCAAGCCUGUUCCAGCCAUGCCGCGUGAGUGAUGAAGGCCUUAGGGUUGUAAAGCUCUGUCGUCCGGGACGAUAAUGACGGUACCGGAAGAAGAAGCCCCGGCUAACUUCGUGCCAGCCGCCGCCGUAA
rnacentral:rRNA from 1 species